UACAGAGGGUGCGAGCGUUGUCCGGAAUCACUGGGCGUAAAGGGCGCGUAGGUGGCGUCGCAAGUCGAUGGUGAAAGCUCGUCGCUCAACGGCGAGUCGGCCAUUGAUACUGCGAGGCUGGAGCACUGUAGAGGCAGAUGGGAAUUCCGGGUGUAGCGGUGGAAUGCGUAGAGAUCCGGAAGAACACCGGUGGCGAAGGCGGUCGUGCUGGGCAGUGAGCUGACACUGAGGCGCGACAGCGUGGGGAGCAAACAGG
rnacentral:rRNA from 1 species